UCCUAUUCCCGAUCUCUCCUCCCCCGAUCUCCCUCCGCUCGACGUGCUCGCUCGCGGACGACUCGGCGACGAUACCAAAGGACCAAGUCACCGGAGCUUGGCGGAAACCAGCGGGCUCUAGGGCGUCUUCGGCCGAGGAGUUGUUGUUCGGUGGAUUCAGCGACUGGUCGUACGGCUAGGGCACAGCGGAGGCUUGAUCGCGUCGUCUCCCAACCAAUCGACCUUCCCUUUCCUCUUCUUGAGCUGCUCACAGAGCGAUCCGCAUCUUCUCAGCUAGAUUGGGUUGUGUGAUGUCGUCUAGAGGUGAUCGAUAGAGGGGAAGUGUCAGAUCACUCUAUUGCGGUUUUCCCCUGAUUGGAUCUUGGAUCUCCUCUGCCUUGCUAUUGAUUGAGGGUCAGAGGAAUCCCUGGUACGCAGAAUCGAAUCGGGUGACACCUUCUGGAGACAUUUGGUUGAGGUUGAUGCCGUCGGGAGAUAUUCCAUUCGCUAGCCCCCUUUAUCGCGAGGAUUU